rnacentral:snRNA from 1 species
GGAUGUGAGGGUGAUCUGGCUGCAACAUCUGUCACCCCAUUGAUCGCCAGGGUUGAUUCGGCUGAUCUGGCUGGCUAGGCGGGUGUCCCCUUCCUCCCUCACCGCUCCACGUGCGUCCCUCCCGAAGCUGCGCGCUCAGUGGAAGAGGACGGCCUUCCCCGAAUAGAGACAGGUCUUCCGGUCGAGGGUAUACGAGUAGCUGCACUCCCCUGCUAGAACCUCCAAACAAGCUCUCAAGAAAAGAACCAGAAGGGACCAGGUGGUGGAGCAUCUGGUUGAGUGUACAUGUUACAGUGUG